rnacentral:lncRNA from 1 species
AGGCACCAUGGCACCAAGGCACCGUGGCACCGUGGCGCCGUGGCACCGUGGCAGCAACGCACCAAGGCACCAUGGCACCGUGGCACGUGGCACCAUGGCACCGUGGCACCAAGGCGUCGCGGCACCAAGGCACUAACGCACCGUGGCAAAAUCAAAAGAGCGUAAACCUACGUUCAAUCAUCCCAAUAUUUUUCCGACGUUCAUCCAUCUUCCUCACCGCUGCAUACUCAUUUUUCUACAUAUCCGCUCUAAUUUUUUAUUUUAAAUAUAUUUCAAUGUCACCUCAUAUGUCGUGGCGGUUUUCGUAAUGUCCCGUCGCCUUCUUUUCAUAUUUUUUUUUAAUAUACUUAAAUCUAAAUAUUUUAUAUCGUUACGUUAUUCGUACAAAUACGC